rnacentral:misc_RNA from 1 species
AGCCCAUUCAAGCUGCAUAUUACGAUUUUGUUUUUCGCUUUUAGAAAGUGGUUUAGAUGAGAUAAUAGAAAAAUUCUUGAUCUCCGACAACGAGUACUUUUAUUUUUUUUGCUAAUCACUUUACUCAAUAUUAGCUCGAAAUCGUAGAAACGUAGACGGGUGCGGGAUACCGAGUGGUGUAGUUAAGAAUUUUUAUAAACCACGUGGCCCAAAAAUAUGAACCCAAAACGUUUAUACAUGAGUAUACUUUAAGAAGGCUAUACCCCUUCGUGUUAGAUGUAGUUUUAGCUACCCAACCCGAGUCUAUGAGCUUGACUUCAGAUGUAGAAGGCAUUAAAUCGUUUUGAAUAUUAAUUAAAAAACGAUGAAAAUUAAAUAUUUAAAAGCAAUCAUACGCUGAAAAUUUAGUGCUGUGGCUAAUCCUUCAACAUGGAAAUGCCAUAAAAGUGACUUUGACAAAAAAAAAAGUAUAUACAGGUAGUAAACUCAUCUACUUCAUUGACUUUGUUUACAGCAUGUGGAAGGAGGAAUAUUUAUUGCUAAAUCGUAGUUUAACAUUCAAUAAGUAAUACUAUUGAAAUUCGACAAGAUUGGCCGCAUGGAUGAAAAAGAGGCAUUUUGCUUUGGGAGAAUUAGUUCAAAUUAGAACUGAAAAAAAAAACUUUACGAGGCAAAAAUGUCGGAUUGAG